ensembl:lncRNA
GUAUCUCCUUGCGGUUGGGUGAUGAAGAGCAGGUGGCCUCAUUUGCAGAGAGCACUUCCUCAGAAGCAGCACCUUCACUGCCUCCUCUUCCUCCACGUGGCUGUCGGGCAGGCGAGGGCGAUUGCGUUCCCCUCCCGCGCCGUGCCGCCUGUCCGCCUGUGGGACCUGCUCCGUGGGCUUUUCAUCAGCUGCCAUUUUCACCAGCAUGCAGUAAUUUCAUGGCUCAUUGCAAGCGCUGAAAACCUUUGAAACUGCAAAUGUUAACUUUUGCCUGGCCCGGAGCCAUUUAGAAAGCGAUUAAUUCGGCAAACAGACGUGAGCCACUUUCUCCUCCCAAGUUUUCGCAUAAUUUUCCAACCCUUUCUAUCUGGGAUUUGCAUUGCAGGGAACUCGCAGGACAAGGAUAAUAACCAUUCCUGUUAAUUGUGUUUUGGUGAAGAAACAAGGCCUAUCGUUCUGCAGUCUGAUCUACCCGGCUAUCCCAAUCCAGUCCAAACAGGGAGAAUAAACAGAGAAUCAAAUCGAGAAUCAGUGGAAACUGUGUACAAGACUCUUUGAAGGGAGUGGAUAGGACGAAAUGCUGUUGAGGGACUGACAUUGAGAAACAUUUCUGGAUGGCAUGAAGGUUGAUGUGGCUGGCCUCCAAAAUCAUCGUGCCUGAGACCACACAGAUGGGGAUGAGAUAAAACUUCUGUGAGUCGCUCUCUCACACACACAAUGCGUGCUCAGUGAGGAUGACUGGAUAGGUUGUAAGCAUGUGAUUGGUUGUUUGGAGGUUAGGGGCGGGGCUAGUGAGCCACCUGUGGCAGUGACAUCAGCACGGCAGAGAUCAGGGGCCCUGUGGUCUCCAUCCCCCACAUCCACCUCGUGUCCUUUUAUCUGUGAUCAUGUAUCACCUGCAGCUACACGUCCAGCUGGAGGAGACAGAUUUCAUCUGUCAUCUUGAAAGACUCCAUUCCCUGUUGUUCUCUCACAUCAAAAUCCAGCGAUAUAUUUGUGUUGCGCAGAGAAGAAAGACAUGGAGAAGAAACCACAACCAAACUUCAUCAGUUCUCGCAUAUAUCGCCAACAUGCCAGCUCAAGACAGCAAAACACAAACCGAAGACGAGCUUCAAAAUGGAGGGACUGAAAAGAGGAAAGGAUGAGUGCAGAGAAAACAAAGAAACGGAGGAAGAAGGGAAGAAAAAGGCAGAGAGAAGAAGGUGUGGAGCAGAAGUGUGGAAGUGUGUUGCUGGGCAAAGGGCUGGCGCUGAACGCGGGGUUGGCAGGCGGGGUGGAGAAGCGGGCACGCUCACAGACAUCUGUUGGCACGCUGCGGAUGCUGGAGGGGGCACGGUGCCAUGACCAGCGGGAACAUGGCACACUGAUAAUGCUGUAGCUAUACUCAGAUACACACUGCGUCUCUAUAGAACGCCACACACACCAGCACUAAUGAUAAAAUAAUCUCACACUAUCGACACGAGCGACGCAGGACACACAGGUUGUGGAUCAAAAUAUCGUAAUUGGCAGCUUGCAGUUUUUAGUUUGGGCAAAAUACUUUUUUAUGAGAAUCUAAGAAAAAUUAUCCUGCAGAAUAAAAAGUGAAUUUAAACUCA